GGGGUGGUGGCGCAGUUGGUUAGCGCGUAGGUCUCAUAGCUAAAUGUUGAGGAAUCCUGAGGUCGAGAGUUCGAGCCUCUCUCACCCCA
rfam:Picea glauca, whole genome shotgun sequence.